CGUGCUUUACGGAGCUAAGCCUUGCCCAGAAGAGGAAAGAAGACAGCAGAGACAGCUCAGGGAGUGUGGCAGGAUGCUGUCAUGACCCUGUGUAAGACUCCAGCUGAGUGCUGUGUGUAUUUAUAGACACACACACACACACAGACACGCAGGCAUGGGAAACGUGCCCUGGAACAAACGUACUGUUUGUUUCCUGGAAACAUGCCCUUCCUUGCCAACUUGCCAGAUUUCCCAGAUCACAUCAUCCUGAAGCAGGGAAAAUUAUGUCUUCUUAUUCCCGGCAUCCACCUGCCACAUGAAGAGAGAUCUUUGGAAAACGGAUCUGACCACUUCUCUGCCCUUUGGAAGACUGGAGCGAUUUCACCUUGUCCUCGGGGAACGAGCUUAAAUUCUCGUGAUGCUGAGAAGAGGGCAGGAGCGGAUAAGUCAAGCACACAAACCAUGGAGAAAAACUUAAGGAUACUUUCCACACCCCAAGCAACAGGCACAUCCCUCUGGGGUGCAACCUAGGUAAGUAAGCCCUGACCACACAGGGGUAUGGAUGCCCUCGGCUGCCUAAGGAGAAGCUUGAUUUGAGGUCUAAGGAAGGCAUCUCCCUUGUGGAAAUGGUACCUGACGGUGACCUGGGCUCUGUGGGGGUGGUAGGCAGAUGUAACAACGUGUGUGGUCGCACCGUUUACAAUACCACACCUUCAUAACCAACCACAUCUCAUUUGAUCCUUUUUUUUUUUUUUUUGGUCUUUUUUUUAGGGCCACACCUGCAGCAUAUGGAAGUUCUGGGACUCAGGGUGGAAUCAGAGCUGCUGCGCAGCUGAGGGGCAACAUGGGAUCCGAGCCACAUCUGCAACCUACACCGCAGCUUGUGGCAACGCCAGAUCCUUUAACUCACUGAGCGUAGCCAGGAUCAAACCCAAAUCCUCACAGAUACUAACUGGGUUCUUCGCACACUGAGCCACAGCAGAAACUCCACACAUCUCAUGUGACCCCAGUGCCUACUCUCUAGGUAGCUUCCUCACCCUCAUUUCUCAGAUGAGGGAAACUGAGGCUCACAGAAUUUUCUGAGUGGCCAGAAACCCAGGGUUUCUGACACACGGUCUUUCCCUUACACGGCAGUUUGGCCUGGGGAAGUCAUGCAAAAUCUCACAGAGCAGGAAACCAUGACUUCUACAGAGACGGCUUCCUCCCAACCCUGGGCAAGGCCCACGGCUGAUGCAAAGUCAUGGUGGUAAAAAGGGAGUGUGCAGGGGGCCACGCUGAUGAGGGCUGGUGGCUGGAUAGCGGCAGGAGCAGCCAAGGGUACUAGGGGGCUGAGCUGGACUAGGCUACUCACCCAGGGUGUGGCUCAGUGCCCAAGGAGAACAGUGAGGCUAUGACUGGCCUAGGGGCUGCCCUGUGCCCAGGAGCAGGGGGCCUAGCCUGAGGGAGGCCUGACUGUAUCCAGGUCUUUGAUGACCACGGGUAAAGAUAAGAUAAAGCCAGUCUCUUAUUUUUAAGCCAGUCAAAGAGAGGA
rnacentral:lncRNA from 1 species